UACGUAGGGGGCAAGCGUUGUCCGGAUUUAUUGGGCGUAAAGAGCGUGUAGGCGGCCUGACAGGUCUGCUGUGAAAACUCGAGGCUCAACCUCGAGAUGUCGGCGGAAACCGUCUGGCUAGAGUCCGGAAGAGGAGAGUGGAAUUCCUGGUGUAGCGGUGAAAUGCGCAGGAUAUCAGGAAGAACACCUAUGGCGAAGGCAGCUCUCUGGGACGGUACUGACGCUGAGACGCGAAAGCGUGGGGAGGCGAACAGGG
rnacentral:rRNA from 1 species